GCAGUUCAAAUGCCAGCUUGAUGCUGGAUCUCCCGUGUGGGCAGCAGCAGAUCCACCACAGGGGAUGGUCCUUCCAGGUUUUACCCACCCCCUUGGGUGAGCUCCUGGCUCUUAGUCCAGUUUCCCUAGGCUGAAGUGUACACUUGGAGAAAAUUCGAGUGUUCAAAGCAGACUCAAGCUGCCAGGAUACUGCCCUUAGAAUCAUGGAAUUCUAGUGUGGUUCUGUUUUGUUUGUGUCAGAACUUUGCAGAGGCUGGUUAGGCAGGAUUGUUGGGACAUUCAUAUUGUGUUGCUAGAGCCCAGAGUCUUAAGACUGGUGCAAGACGGACCAGAGUGAAAGCUUUUGCCAAAGAUGUUUUCAUUAAUCAAGGACGAAGGUGAAAGUGGGCGGUUUGAAGAGGCUUGGACCCCAAGUAUCCUGUGUAGUUCUGACCGUAAACGAUGUGGACAGCCAGUGUUGCUCUCAUGACCCACAGAUGGCUUCCAGGAAGCCGGAGUCCUCUG
rnacentral:ncRNA from 1 species